UACGGGGGGGGCAAGCGUUGUUCGGAAUUACUGGGCGUAAAGGGCUCGUGGGCGGCCCACUAAGUCCGACGUGAAAUCCCCAGGCUUAACUUGGGAACUGCGUCGGAUACUGGUGGGCUUGAAUCCGGGAGAGGGAUGCGGAAUUCCAGGUGUAGCUGUGAAAUGCGUAGAUAUCGGGAGGAACACCAGUGGCGAAGGCGGCCUUCUGGACCAGUACUGACGCUCAUGCACGAAAGCGUGGGGAGCAAACAGG
rnacentral:rRNA from 1 species